CCGCAUUAGGGAUUGAUGCGGCAUCCUUUUUUACUUUUUUGUAAAAAAGAUAUAGCCGAAAGCCCGACUUUUU
rnacentral:sRNA from 1 species